rnacentral:rRNA from 1 species
UGGCGAAGGCGGCCCCUGGACAAGACUGACGCUCAGGUGCGAAAGCGUGGGGAGCAAACAGGAUAGAUACCUGGUAGUCACGCUGUAAACGAUGUCGAUUUGGAGGUUGUUCCCUUGAGGAGUGGCUUCCGGAGCUAACGCGUUAAAUCGACCGCCUGGGGAGUACGGCCGCAAGGUUAAAACUCAAAUGAAUUGACGGGGGCCCGCACAAGCGGUGGAGCAUGUGGUUUAAUUCGAUGCAACGCGAAGAACCUUACCUACUCUUGACAUCCAGAGAAUUUAGCAGAGAUGCUUUAGUGCCUUCGGGAACUCUGAGACAGGUGCUGCAUGGCUGUCGUCAGCUCGUGUUGUGAAAUGUUGGGUUAAGUCCCGCAACGAGCGCAACCCUUAUCCUUUGUUGCCAGCACAUUAUGGUGGGAACUCAAAGGAGACUGCCGGUGAUAAACCGGAGGAAGGUGGGGAUGACGUCAAGUCAUCAUGGCCCUUACGAGUAGGGCUACACACGUGCUACAAUGGCGUAUACAAAGAGAAGCGACCUCGCGAGAGCAAGCGGAACUCAUAAAGUACGUCGUAGUCCGGAUUGGAGUCUGCAACUCGACUCCAUGAAGUCGGAAUCGCUAGUAAUCGUAGAUCAGAAUGCUACGGUGAAUACGUUCCCGGGCCUUGUACACACCGCCCGUCACACCAUGGGAGUGGGUUGCAAAAGAAGUAGGUAGCUUAACCUUCGGGAGGGCGCUUACCACUUUGUGAUUCAUGACUGGGGUGAAGUCGUAACAAGGUAACCA